rnacentral:rRNA from 1 species
UACGUAGGGGGCAAGCGUUGUCCGGAAUCAUUGGGCGUAAAGAGCGUGUAGGCGGUCCGGUAAGUCGGCUGUGAAAGUCCAGGGCUCAACCCUGGGAUGCCGGUCGAUACUGCCGGACUAGAGUUCGGAAGAGGCGAGUGGAAUUCCCGGUGUAGCGGUGAAAUGCGUAGAUAUCUGGAGGAACACCGGUGGCGAAGGCGGCAUCCUGGACCGACAUUGACGCUGAGGCGCGAAAGCCAGGGGAGCAAACGGG